UUGGUGGUGAUGCCUGGGCGCAGUGGUUUAUCGAUCCCUUCCCUGCCUUGUGGCGCUGAUCCAGGAGCGGCGAAUUUCUUUGAGAGGGUGUUCUUUUUUUUUCUUCCUUUUGGUCCUUGUUGCAGCCAACGACAACGCGGGAAUCGAUCGAUAAACCUCUGCAUCCAGUUCUCGCCUUUU
rnacentral:pre_miRNA from 1 species